AAAAUAGUAGGUAAGAAGCAGGCAAAGCUUCAGCACUCCUCCGCGACACUGACAGGGCUGUGGAAUGUGUCGCUAGUGACACGCGCAGUUCACAACGGUGAAAGCGAUCACCGAGACGAAAGCUACUGCUGCGGAAGGAAACGCACAAGACGCCACGCGGCAAACCCGGUCGCCCGCGGGGACCGCACCGGGAAGGCCGGGGGUCCUCACCCCUCAGAGCGGGAGGCUCCCUGCGCAACCAGGGGCCGGGACAGGACAGCGAGACCGCAGGGCCGCGCACCGCGCUCACUGCAGUAUUCAAGUUCAUCUUAGAAGAAGUCAGUUAUUACCUGGCCCCAUGCUGCAUGGCUGUGAGAGACAUAGACUGAUGAAUCAGAUAGUAAACAAAGAAGAAGUACAACAGUCUGCUCAAAGUGCCAGUGCAGUGACAAUGCCUCAUCUUGGUGAAGGUCAUGGAUUCCGAAGGAGCCCGCAGAGUGCGUGGGUCAAGUCCCACCUUUUGCCUCUAUUUGCUGUGGGAACUUGGAGAAGUUCUGGGAAAGGGCAUGUGUGUAUGGAUCUGCAGUAUAUGCACAUUCUCCUUGUAUAAAACUUGUGUGUGGUAACGAUUUCUCAUCAGCUCCCUGACUUUGAGAGUAAGUUCAGGCUUAUAAUUUUCCAGCUGAGGAAGCCAAGGUGGAAGAUUAAGUACCAGUGUCAUUGUCCCUCUGCUGAUAGAGGUGUUCAGUCCACCGAGCUGUGAGCCAAAGAGUUUUUAUACGACAGGAACAUUUUGAUGUGAAUUGUAGUUUUUGAUAUAUGAGUUUCAGCACCAACAACUGCAGUCCUCACUGUUAACCUCUUACUGCAAGUUAAAUCAAGUUAUUGUUACUGGAUGGAAAGACUCCAUUACUUUAUAAGGCAGAACAAAUUUUUCAAGCUUAUAAGCUUCAUGCAAAAAUCACAUGCUACAGCCUGGAGUCUGGAUGAGACUCUAAAUACAUCUGUUGUUUUGGUAGUCUACUUUAAUGAAUCCAAUCUAAUCAGAAUGUUGGACACACAAGUGGAUCAUAAUGCUAAUGAUCUAAUUUGUUAGAGUUCAAUUUGUUCACUGAGUGAGUGAGAAUAAUAUUGUACAGUUUUCCCCAUAAAUAUUACUGUUUUACCUCACACACAAGGAACUCUGAAUUGACCUUGGCAGUGGAAAGAGAAAUUCAUUUAGGCUUGAUAGAGAAGAGUGCUAUUUCCGGGCAAAUCCUAAAACUGUUUUGCAGGCUUCAAACACUAGGUGGCAGAGGUGCUCUUGUUAAGAUUUUCUGAGUUACUAAGGAGAGCAACUUUUUUUUCUGACAGCAAUGAUGAACUCUCCUAAUUAGUCACCCGUGCACAUGAAAGCCAUAUAGGAUGUUCUAAUCGAAAGAGAGAUGUACUCUGCAAUCCACAGGGAACUUGCUUUUACAGUAUCGGUAGCUUGACCAGGGGUGCUUUUUAUGAGGCUUGCCUAUUCAUUUCAGUAAUGGACUAGAGUCAUAUAGGGCUUCCUCUCCCUGGUCAUCAACAGGAUUUGGAGAAAAGCGAAAUCUGAAGUGAAGCCCUGACAGAGGAUCGUCAGUUUGAUACCAAAAAAUCUUUGCUUGUGAGUGUUAAGCGUCUAAAGAAAGAAUGAAAAAAGGACAUUUUCUGCAUUUUUCUUUCUCAUAAUUGAAGAAGGAAAAGCAGUUUACUGCAGAGCAGAGAAACUAUUAUAACAUAAAAUAGUCCCUAGUAAUAAUAUAAGGAGCAGAACCUAGUUUAAUUGAUAUUCAGCUCUAAUUAUGCUCAGUAUUAUCUGUGCUAUAAAAAAAAAAAUAAGCUAAUUCU